GGAUGUGAGGGCCACCUGGCAAUGACAUCAGCCACCUCACUGAUGAACAGGUUUGAUUCAGCUGAUCUGGUUGCCUGAGUAUUGUCCGCUUCUUCCUCCACCCCUUGAAGCGGUGACAUCCAAGAGAACCACCUUCCUUAUGGAGGAGGUCUAUUCUUGGUCAAGGGCAUGUGACUAUGUAUGUUCCCCUGUUGGAGCACUAGUAGAACUCUCCUGUUCAAACCAAGCUCACUCUCAGGAAGUAAUGGGAUGACUCAGUAAGUCGUGGCACACAUUAAGAGCCUGUCUUU
rfam:Ictidomys tridecemlineatus contig026656, whole genome shotgun sequence.